GCUGGGUGUGGUGGUUCACACCUGUAAUCCCAGCACUUUGGGAGGCUGAGACAGGUGGAUUGCUUGAGCCUAGGAGUUCGAGACCAGCCUGGGCAACAUGGCAAAACCCUGUCUCUA
ensembl:misc_RNA Metazoa_SRP Metazoan signal recognition particle RNA